CCUACGGGAGGCGGCAGUGAGGAAUAUUGGUCAAUGGGCGCGAGCCUGAACCAGCCAAGUAGCGUGAAGGAUGACUGCCCUACGGGUUGUAAACUUCUUUUAUAAAGGAAUAAAGUGAGGCACGUGUGCCUUAUUGUAUGUACUUUAUGAAUAAGGAUCGGCUAACUCCGUGCCAGCAGCCGCGGUAAUACGGAGGAUCCGAGCGUUAUCCGGAUUUAUUGGGUUUAAAGGGAGCGUAGAUGGGUUGUUAAGUCCGUUGUGAAAGUUUGCGGCUCAACCGUAAAAUUGCAAUUGAUACUGGCAGUCUUGAGUACAUUGGAGGUAGGCGGAAUUCGUGGUGUAGCGGUGAAAUGCUUAGAUAUCACGAAGAACUCCGAUUGCGAAGGCAGCUUACUAUACUGCCACUGACAUUGAUGCUCGAAAGUGUGGGUAUCAAACAGGAUUAGAUACCCUAGUAGUC
rnacentral:rRNA from 1 species